UACAUAGGGAGCGAGCGUUAUCCGGAUUCAUUGGGCGUAAAGCGCGCGUAGGCGGCUCGCCAAGCGGGGUCUCAAACCCGGGGGCUCAACCUCCGGCCCGACCCCGAACCGGCGGGCUCGAGUUCGGUAGAGGAAGACGGAAUUCCCGGUGUAGCGGUGAAAUGCGCAGAUAUCGGGAAGAACACCGAUGGCGAAGGCAGUCUUCUGGGCCGACACUGACGCUGAAGUGCGAAAGCUAGGGGAGCGAACAGG
rnacentral:rRNA from 1 species